GGAUGUGAGGGCGAUCUGGCUGCGACAUCUGUCACCCCAUUGAUCGCCAGGGUUGAUUCGGCUGAUCUGGCUGGCUAGGCGGGUGUCCCCUUCCUCCCUCACCGCUCCAUGUGCGUCCCUCCCGAAGCUGCGCGCUCGGUGGAAGAGGACGACCAUCCCAGAUAGAAGGAGUGUACCAUUCUUCGGUCAAGGGUAUACGAUAGCUGCGCUCCCCUGCUAGAACCUCCAAACAAACCUUUUUCAAAGAAUGCCAGAUUUGAUGAAGUGAACAUACGUGAGGGCCAGCCAAAGUUGUUGAGAGCUUUUUUU